GGGUCGAUGCUCGAGUGGUUAAUGGGGACGGAUUGUAAAUCCGCUGGCGAUGCCUACGCUGGUUCAAAUCCAGCUCGACCCA
rnacentral:tRNA from 1 species